UAGGCGCACGGGUGAGUAACACGUGACUAACCUACCCUCGAGUGGGGAAUAACCUAGAGAAAUCUGGGCUAAUACCGCAUAACACUUACGAGUCAAAGCAGCAAUGCGCUUGAGGAGGGGGUCGCGGCAGAUUAGUUAGUUGGCAGGGUAAUGGCCUACCAAGACGAUGAUCUGUAUCCGGCCUGAGAGGGCGCACGGACACACUGGAACUGAAACACGGUCCAG
rnacentral:rRNA from 1 species